AUUGAACGCUGGCGGCAGGCCUAACACAUGCAAGUCGAACGGCAGCACAGAAGAGCUUGCUCUUUGGGUGGCGAGUGGCGGACGGGUGAGUAAUGUCUGGGAAACUGCCCGAUGGAGGGGGAUAACUACUGGAAACGGUAGCUAAUACCGCAUAACGUCGCAAGACCAAAGUGGGGGACCUUCGGGCCUCACACCAUCGGAUGUGCCCAGAUGGGAUUAGCUAGUAGGUGGGGUAAUGGCUCACCUAGGCGACGAUCCCUAGCUGGUCUGGGAGGAUGACCAGCCACACUGGAACUGGGACACGGUCCAGACUCCUACGGGAGGCAGCAGUGGGGAAUAUUGCACAAUGGGCGCAAGCCUGAUGCAGCCAUGCCGCGUGUAUGAAGAAGGCCUUCGGGUUGUAAAGUACUUUCAGCGGGGAGGAAGGCGGUGAGGUUAAUAACCUUGCCGAUUGACGUUACCCGCAGAAGAAGCACCGGCUAACUCCGUGCCAGCCGCCGCAGUAACAC
rnacentral:rRNA from 1 species